rnacentral:rRNA from 1 species
AUUGAGCGCUGGCGGCAGGCCUAACACAUGCAAGUCGAGCGGAUGACAGGAGCUUGCUCCUGGAUUCAGCGGCGGACGGGUGAGUAAUGCCUAGGAAUCUGCCUGGUAGUGGGGGACAACGUUUCGAAAGGAACGCUAAUACCGCAUACGUCCUACGGGAGAAAGCAGGGGACCUUCGGGCCUUGCGCUAUCAGAUGAGCCUAGGUCGGAUUAGCUAGUUGGUGAGGUAAUGGCUCACCAAGGCGACGAUCCGUAACUGGUCUGAGAGGAUGAUCAGUCACACUGGAACUGAGACACGGUCCAGACUCCUACGGGAGGCAGCAGUGGGGAAUAUUGGACAAUGGGCGAAAGCCUGAUCCAACCAUGCCGCGUGUGUGAAGAAGGUCUUCGGAUUGUAAAGCACUUUAAGUUGGGAGGAAGGGUUGUAGAUUAAUACUCUGCAAUUUUGACGUUACCGACAGAAUAAGCACCGGCUAACUCUGUGCCAGCAGCCGCUGUAACAC